CACCGCGGUUAUACGAGAGGCCCAAGUCGAUAGUCAACGGCGUAAAGAGUGGUUAAAAAGAACCCGCAACUAAAGCCGAACGCCUUCAACACUGUUAUACGUAUCCGAAGGUAAGAAGCCCAUUCACGAAAGUGGCUUUACAAUUUUGAACCCACGAAAGCUAAGACA
rnacentral:rRNA from 1 species